GAUGAACGCUGGCGGCGUGCCUAACACAUGCAAGUCGAGCGAUUUACUUUGGUAAAGAGCGGCGGACGGGUGAGUAACGCGUGGGUAACCUGCCCUGUACACACGGAUAACAUACCGAAAGGUAUGCUAAUACGAGAUAAUAUGCUUUUAUCGCAUGGUAGAAGUAUCAAAGCUUUUGCGGUACAGGAUGGACCCGCGUCUGAUUAGCUAGUUGGUGAGGUAACGGCUCACCAAGGCGACGAUCAGUAGCCGACCUGAGAGGGUGAUCGGCCACAUUGGAACUGAGACACGGUCCAAACUCCUACGGGAGGCAGCAGUGGGGAAUAUUGCACAAUGGGCGAAAGCCUGAUGCAGCAACGCCGCGUGAGCGAUGAAGGCCUUCGGGUCGUAAAGCUCUGUCCUCAAGGAAGAUAAUGACGGUACUUGAGGAGGAAGCCCCGGCUAACUACGUG
rnacentral:rRNA from 1 species